rnacentral:lncRNA from 1 species
GGGCUUUAAGCAAUUUACCUUUUUCUGGUGGAGCCAAAUAAUUUGGCGCUGCCAGAUUCCAACGCCCUACUCUGCUGCCUAUGGUACUUUUUCUAAUUUUUUAAUUUGUUUUUCAUUUUUUCCUUUUUUUUUGUCAUUGUUUGUCCUUUUUCUUUCUUUUUAUUUGUUUUUCUUUAUUUCCUUUUUCAGUUUUUUAUUUUUUUUUCUUUAUUUUUUUAUUAUUUG